AUGGGGUGGGAGCCCAUAAAGGGGUUUUUGGGGUCAGCUUAUGGGGUGGGAGCCCAUAAAGGGGGCUUUGGGGUCAGGUUAUGGGGUGGGAGCCCAUAGAGGGGCUUUGGGGUCAGGAUGAAACAUUGGGGUCAGGUUAUGGGGUGGGAGCCCAUAGAGGGGCUUUGGGGUCAGGAUAUGGGGUGGGAGCCCAUAGAGAGACAUUGGGGUCAGGUUAUGGGGUGGGAGCCCAUAAAGGGGCUUUGGGGUCAGCUUAUGGGGUGGGAGCCCAUAGGGAGGCUUUGGGGUCAGGUUAUGGGGUGGGAGCCCAUAAAGGGGCUUUGGGGUCAGGUUAUGGGGUGGGAGCCCAUAAAGGGGCUUUGGGGUCAGGAUGAAACAUUGGGGUCAGCUUAUGGGGUGGGAGCCCAUAGAGAGACAUUGGGGUCUGGUUAUGGGGUGGGAGCCCAUAAAGGGGCUUUGGGGUCAGCUUAUGGGGUGGGAGCCCAUAGAGGGGCUUUGGGGUCAGCUUAUGGGGUGGGAGGCCCAUAGAGGGGCUUUGGGGUCAGGUUAUGGGGUGGGAGCCCAUAAAGGGGCUUUGGGGUCAGGAUGAAACAUUGGGGUCAGGUUAUGGGGUGGGAGCCCAUAAAGGGGCUUUGGGGUCAGGAUGAAACAUUGGGGUCAGCUUAUGGGGUGGGGAGCCCAUAGGGAGGCUUUGGGGUCAGGAUGAAACAUUGGGGUCAGCUUAUGGGGUGGGAGCCCAUAAAGGGGCUUUGGGGUCAGGUUAUGGGGUGGGAGCCCAUAAAGGGGUUUUGGGGUCAGCCUAAUGCAAUGGGACCCCAAUUUUGUUCUAUGGGGUCAACCAAAUGCCCCCCCAGAACCCCACAGGACCCACCCAAGACCCCCCAGCACCCCAUAAGACCCCAUAAGACCCAAUCAGCACCCCAUAAGACCCCAUAAGACCCCCCCAAGACCCCCCAGCACCCCACAAGACCCCAUAAGACCCCCCAGCACCCAAUAAGACCCCCCAAGACCCCAUAAGACCCCUCAGCACCCCAUAGACCCCCCCCAAGACCCCCCAGCACCCCAUAAGACCCCAUAAGACCCCCCAAGAUCCCCCAGCACCCCAUAAGACCCCAUAAGACCCCAUAAGACCCC